GACUAAUGUGUUGUUUUUAGGUCACUGUAGAACCACACUUGAAUAAUAAAAUAUUUUUUUCAAAAAAUAUGCAAGGCUCAACACCAAAUUAGUAGUUAGAUAAAGACAUAGGGUUCGGUUGGUUGGUUUGGUUGUAAUUGUAAGGCAGAGCUCCUCAUUCAUUAAACUAUUUUGUAAAUAUCAUUUUUAGGUGCAAUUAGUACUUAUUGGUGUUUUUAUAUGAAACAUUAGUUGGAGCAUCAAAUAACCGUACUGUAUGCUCUGAUGUGGUUUAAAUACCAGGCACCAUGAAAUUAAUUAGUGAUUAAUGAAGGAGCCAUGCAACUGAAAUACAAUUUGUAACUAGUAUAUCGCAGACACAGUAUUUUCCCAGCAUGUCACAUGGUCUCCUGGACACAAUCAUCAAUCUAGAUUCACACUGCAUUUUUUUAAUGCCCAUUCAAAUUUUUGGGUAAAGUCUGGUUUUCUCGGUGUGUGUGUGUGUGUUUAUAUGUGUGUGUAUAUGUGUGUGUAUAUGUGCGUGCAUGCACGCGCGUAUAUACAUGCACACACACAAACCUGACUAAGAGGGCACUAUCAUACUACACUGGCUAACAGUGGCCUCCUAUUUCUGGUUAUUUUCAAAAUACUUAAAUCAAUACCAACAAAGGGUUGCCUUUUAAUGUCUAAAACAUAAUAUUACUUCAAAUAUUGAUUCUCUAUUCUAUGAUGGAAUUUUCUAAGAGGGGACUUCAAGGCUUGAGUGACGUCGACCUAUCUACGAGGGAACCGCCAAUACCUACAAUGGUCGAACUUAAUCUUUUUGGAAUUUGGUGUACUGCAAACGCCAUCUUUACAUAUAUAAAAUGAAGAAGAAAAUAGAACUACAAUCAAAUAAACAUUUAAAGAUUUGCCAAAAAAACAAGCCAACUUAACAAAAUCACACUAAGACAUACAAAAACAGAAUUGCACACAAGUUCCUCCCCCAGAGAAAUGCACAUACACAAUGACAUUGUUUUUGUAAUUGUUGUUAGAUUGUUGGUUGUAUUAUUAUUAUUAUCCAUCCAUCCAUAUUCUAUACCGUUUGUCCCCAUGGGGGUCUCGGGCGUGCUGGAGCCUAUCCCAGUAGUCAUCGGGCAGGAGACGGGGGACACCCUGAAUCGGUAACCAAAUAAUCCUCCUCGUUCUUCAUAGAGAAAAAGAGACUGCAGUAGGGUGGAAUAAAAUGUAACGUACUAUACGUGUACUUGUCUCGAUCACGUGGCCAAACUGAAAAAAACCCUAAAGGUGCCAUCAGUGCUUAACAUCCAUUGGCACUUCGGUCUCCAAAUGACAGCUGUACAGGCGCACACGAGGUGGGGAUGGCAAAAUAGCAAGUGCAGAUGGUGACGACAACAAGUGCCAAAGGCAAUGAAUGCCAAUGGUGAACAAUUUCUGGCCCGUAGGCUGUAGUUUUGGGACCCCUUAUGCCCACUUAAACCUCUGAAAAUAUUGCUUAUUUUGGAUUUUACAGGACAUCUUCCUCAUGACACCCUGAACUGGUUGGCAGUCAGUUGCAGGUCACUCUAGACAAGCAUUCACACUCAGUGGUCAAUUGGCCCUUGGAAUGUGGGAGAAAACCAGAGUAAGGAAACACACACAGUUUCCGGGAUAACAUGCAAACUACACACAGGAAGGCUCAAACCCUGAAUCUCUGAACUGUGAGGCGACGUGGCAACCAGUUGUCCACGGUGACGCCAUAAACAAAUUAUUAUGUCACAAUCUGCCAUAAGUUGUGAUUUCAAAUUAGAUUCCUUGCUAAAUAUAUACGCAGCAAUCAGUUGCUGUCACAUGAAGAAAUUGGACAAGUGAAUUAUAUUAUGUGACCCAAGACAAAAUUGUAGGUUGUUGUUCAGUCUUGACUGGGCCAAGGAGCAUGCGUGGGCCUCCACCUGAGCAGUCGUUUGUGGUAACAAUUCUGCCUUUUCACAGUUCCACAGUUCACACCCUUCCACCACUAAAAACCCAUUUGGCGUGCUUUUAAUUUUCGCGUAUAUCUUUGUGUAUUUUUAAAUGUAUUCAUUUUUAUCACCAGGAUUUUCUGUGUUCAUUAACAAUUAUGGUCAAAAUGGGUACAGUAGAUGAAUGUAAACUUUAUAUCCGUGACUCAAAACACAAUUUUUCAACUUUGCAUGCUUGAGAUGUGUUACACAGCACUCUUGCACUCAGCGGGUCAAACUAAGUCAUGGGGGGACAGGGCUUUUUCAUGUAACAUGCAUGUCUUCAAAUAUCUAAGGUCUAUAGUUGGCGCCAGCAAUUGUGUGUACACUUGUGCACCAGUAAUGAAAGCAGAUGUAUUGAUAAAACAAAAAAUACUACCAUGCAAACAAUCUAUGUAUAUAUAACAAACACUUUUUUUUUUAUUCACAGAGUACUAUGUAUACAGAUUUCCACAAUAAAACAUUUCAAAAUUAAAAAAAGUAAAAUCAUAUGCAAAAAUGAAAACAAGUCAGUUUUGGACAAGACCACUUAAAUAUACACUAGACUCUUUCCCAGAUUACACUACAGCAACAUCCCUUUUGUACUUGCAAAACAAUGAGUCAAGCAAUUAACGUGUGUAAUCUACAAAAUAGAGGUGGCUACAUUCACAGUUUUUAUUUGUCUGUCCUGAUGUUUCAGAGUUAAACAUUUGCAUGACUGAAAGUAUUCAUAUGCAAUACUGACUUGAAAAUCAAUUUCCAGAUACCUGAUGGAGAUGGACUAUAUAAAGUCUGGGUCCUUGCUUUGUGCAACCAACUAGUAUUCCACACGGUUGUUUACAAAACACAAUAACUCUAGCUAACUCAUUGCUUUGCAGGAAAAUAUUUCUAGCACUGUUUUUUCCACUUAUUCACUGCCAUCUACCUCAAGAAGAUAUUUUUGGUGUCUUUCUUGACCUAAAGACUGACCUACAAUUUUUUCUAUUGUACUCCAAGGGAUACAUCUAGAGGUAAAUUCCUUAUUUGCACAAAGAAAAUACAGAUUUGUUAUUCAUUCUUGCUAACAGUGUGUAGUUGGCACAUUGUGUCCUGGCUAAUUUGAUGUCUUGUGUUAAUUGUUUGAUACAAAACAAACCAUUUUAUGAAAGUUUGAAGAGUUAAGUGAGACUUAUUUGCUUUUGCAAGAAACACGUCGGAAGAAAUUUUUGAAAUUUUGUAAAAGUUUUUCUUAUUUGUGUGAAUAGUUUUGGAAAAAAUAGCCAAAAGUUACAAAGAAUGUGCUUAGGUAAUCAGACAAAACUGUGUCAGGUAGCCCAAGUCAUUGUUCUGGACACUAGCAAUAGUGAAAAUAUUUUUGAUUUCACAACGCCACAGGUUCAUGUCAAGUUAAUCAUAAUACUGUUUUUCAGAAAAAUCAGACCUAAAAGAGUUUGCCCAUGAAAGGACUCCAUUGCUUCUGGCAAAGACAAACACACAUUUCAGAAAAGAUUCAUCAUGACUGAAAAAGGUUAUGGAAUAUUUGCCAUCCAAGCAGGAGAAUUCUUGCUUGAAUAUGGGUGAACACAACGUUCUAAAGGAGAAUCACAUCAUUUUAAACAUUAAUGGUUUUACUCAUAUUCCAUAUGAAAAGAGCAAUACAUCACACAGUUGUCCACAAAACAUCAGAGAAGAUGGACAUCCCUGAAUGUUUUGACCAGACUAAGACCAACAAAACAAACAUCAUAACAUAACAUUAAAGAUGGACAUCUAAAUGAUUUGAUCAGGUGCAGAACAUUCAUUCAGAGGUGAUGAGUGACCUGAUACAAUCAUGCUCUCUUCCUGAAGAGAGCUAUUCAAUUAUGGUUUCUUUUUUUCACGAAACGUCUGACGAGAAUAAAGUAAACCAAAAAAUAGAAAAAAAAGAAAAAGAAGAGAAAAUAGAAGAAGUUUCAUGGAAACCAGCCACCCACUUACCUGAUAAAAGCAAACCCCCAAGGUUGUAUUGAGGUAAAAAUGUCCUCAGACACUUCAUCUCAUAGAGUCUAUGAUAAGAAGAAUCACGGCCUUUACUGUGAGCAGAAGCACACUGAGAAAACUGAAGUGGCGGAGGCACUUGCACACAACCAAGGGACAUCUACAUGGAAUCUUCUUCUCAGCUAAUGGAUUAAUAUGAGAAAGUACCACCUCAAUUGCUCAGUUCUUUCCUCUGGAAAAUGACUAAUUGUACCCAAACAACAAGCACUUCACCUAUCCAUUGAAGCAGACUACUUGCCUUGCGAGUUCUGUUUUGCAAUGUACUAUAUAAGGACAGACCUCUGGAGACAUCACAAGCGUUGCAAAUUCAAAGUGACCAAGGUUGGCUCAGUGAAAAGAAAGAUCCUAUCCACUGCUUCCCUGAUGUUGCCAAUUACUGAUCAACUGAUAAAGAUUUUGGAAGGCAUGACUUACGAUAUUGUCACUCAAGUCAGAUGUGCGCAUAAUUGCCUUAGGUGAGAAGAUGUUAAGUCAGAUGUGCUCAUAAUUUCCGUAGGUGAGAAGAUGCAAAAUGGAGAAAUGGGACGACACCAUGCUGACAUGAGAAACAAAAUGAGGGAGCUUGGCAGACUAGUUAUAUCAGCCAAGAAAAUUGACCACAAUAUAAUAUUUUUGAGGAACCUGAUAGAUCCUGUGAAGUUCAAUUCACUUCUGGAGGUGGUUAAAUCCAUGACUGGAUUCGACAACGCCAUGAACAGAUUUGGUACUCCAGCAACGGCACUGAAACUGCGGCAUUCACUCUUAAGUGUGUCAAAGUUAUUGCAAGAAGCAUUACGUCAACAAGAUGAGGCCUUGAGGAUAAAUGCGGAGCAGUUUUCAAAGUUAAUUGAAAUGGAAUGGACUUCACGUGUCCUCUAAUGUGCUUAAGACUUUAGACCAGAAGAAAUGGAACAGCACCCAACCACUCCCUCUGAGGACAUCAAGAAACUGCAUGACUACUUGAAACAUCUUGAAGAGGUCCACAAAAAGGCAUUGAUUGAAAGUGCUUCCCAAAAAUCUUUUUGUGAGCUCCCUAAGGUUACAAGCAAAAUGUCAGCCAAGCUAAAAUUGUUGCAGGACAACAAUCUUAGUUGUUUUAGAUUAAAAUUUUGGAUGCUAAUUUGUGACAUAUUGUGGAGACACUGUCUAUGUGGAAAGUGAACUACAUUUUGAUUUUAUUUAUUUUUGUGUCGUUUUUCCAAUGUCUUUCUCCAACAGUUUGAAUUGUACACAUAAAAACACCUACAUUUGCCUCUAUAGGUUAUAUAUAACGUCGACUCAAUUAUGUACACUUCACUGAAAGAGAUGUUUGUUCAUAACUCUAUAUCACCUUUAGAUGUGGGCUACAAAAAUGUUCACAGUUUUUCUCAAUUGCCGCGACACAUUUCUCGAAAGCUGUUCUCCCUUUCUCUCAAGUGUGAACACAAAACCCAAUUUACAAGCUACUUUCCACAUGUGUUCACAAAACUCUUCUUGCAAAACCAAACUUUCACCCCAAAAUCUUUUAAUUUGUGCUCAGAAUUGAACUCUGUUGUCAGUUGUCACAUGUUAUUAUUAAAACUUAUUGGAUACACAUUUAACACAUCCAGUGCAUAGAGAAACAAAAUUAGAUAAAUCAUUUGAUUGGUGUACCUCUAAUCUCAUAUCUACAGAGGACACACGCAAGAGGAAGUAUAAUAUAUCUAAAUUGAGAGAGGCUUUUCAAGCUCUAAUGACGUCUACUAAAGGUCAUGUGACGUAAUUGCUGCAUUUUACAAAUGAACUGUCUUUGUGGUCGUCUAUUGUCACCACCAAUGUCCACUUUCUGCCCAAUGUUUCAAGUUGAAUUCAAUAAAAAUCAAACACGAAGUGAGUACCGUUACUCAAAACAACUUAUAUAUAUAUACAAUCACGUCAUUCAGACUGAAAUUGCACUGCAAAAUAUUGGAUAUGUAUGCAAUCUAAGCCCAUCUACAAAAGACUAGGUUCACACUGCAGUGCAAUUCUGACUGUUUUUAUCCAUAUGAGAUAGGGCGGUUACCAGGUCCGCCUCGCUGUUCGGAGGUUGCAGAUUCAAUUUCACCUCCGGCCCAUUCUGUGUGGCUUUUGCAUGUUCUCCCCGUGCCUGCGUGGGUUU